rnacentral:lncRNA from 1 species
GAAUUUUAAGGGUUCCCUGGUAUUCCAAAGCCGAGUUUUGAGCACCACCACACCUGCAGCGCGGAUUCCGGGACUUCAACAUGUAUCUUGGUUCUUGGUUAAAUCGUCUAGGCAGGGGUUUAUCCAGACCCAUCGGAAAGACCAAGCAGCCAAUCUGGGGUUCUCUUUCCAGAAGUCUGACGUUGAGUUCACAGAGAGUUCCAGGUGAAGGCAGCUACAAGCUGUUUUUGACAGCUUGUUUUCCCCAUCCUAACUGCAUUUUAAUAGCAAGUCAUUCAUUCUCUUGAUUACUUAUAAUCAAGUUUUUCCCCCUCUUGAUUAUGAAAAAAGAUAGAUAGUCUGUUUAAUGUACACUAUUAAUAGAAAAACUAAAAUAAUUUAAAUAAAAUCUUCCUGACAUCCAAA